UUCUCAAAAAUAUCUUUCCCUCUUCAAUCUUCUCAUUCUCUAAGAAUGUACAUACAUUAGGACUUAAUUUUGUUAUCCUUUGUUCUAAUUUGAUGAAAUCAUUGCUAGUUGCCACCUUCUCUAAAUCUGAUAUUAAACAAAUGGCAAAAAGAGCAUGAGCACAACAAAGCAUGAUGAUCAAGAAGAGAUUAAUAAUGAAUUAUGAUUCUCUUCCAAUCAACUCUGCUUAAACU